rnacentral:lncRNA from 1 species
GCCAUGGUGGAUGGUCAGCCAAGCCUGCAGUAAGUGCUGGAGAGGGUCGAUGAGUGGAUGGCGAAGGAAGGCCUCUUAGAUCCAAACGUCAAGUCGAUUUUUGUCACCUGCGGAGACUCGACUUAAAAGUCAUGAUGGACUCCUCUUGCCCUGUGGAGUCAGUUUCCAAGAUACCAUCUUCCCAGACACUCAAGAGAACAGAAGAAAGAUUUCCUGCUCUAUCCCAUUUUUAAACUGUUCCCAACGGCAGUAACUGGUGACUUUCUCCAGGGACUGGGAGAUCCAAGAAGAUAAUAAGGUAAGAAUCGGCUGUACCCUGAGCCAUAGCAAAAGGAGAGAAUAGGUACAUGGUGUAUGAAUGUUGUGACCAAGUCAAGUGUACUCUUCCAGAAGCCCAGACCUAAGAGUAUUCCCUUCCUUCAUCCCCUCCCUUCCAGCAGGUAACAAACAGUCCUCAUAAACUUGAGAUUCCUGAGGCUUUAUGAUUUGGCACAGGGGUCCGCACAAAGUGAGGGUACAAGAUGGAAUGAAGGUUGGCACACUGUGCCUGAGUGCCCCCUUCUGUAAAGUGGAAAGAGUUGUGUGUGUGCCCUAUGACCGAUGCACUAGGAUUUAACUCUUUAGGAAAUGUAAACAUGCAAAGCCCUCAGUGUAGCACUUGACAGAGCAAGCAAUCAAUGUGUGAGCUACUGCCAUUACUAUCAGUAGUCCUAUUACUUCUAGAGGUAUUUGUAUGAUUGUUGUGAUUGAGAGCAUAGGG